UACAGAGACUGCAAGCGUUAUUCGGAUUCACUGGGCGUAAAGGGUGCGCAGGCGGCCAAGUGUGUCAGGUGUGAAAUCCCGAGGCUUAACCUCGGAACUGCGCCUGAAACUACUUGGCUAGAGUACUGGAGAGGGUAACGGAAUUCACGGUGUAGCAGUGAAAUGCGUAGAUAUCGUGAGGAACACCAGAGGCGAAGGCGGUUACCUGGACAGUUACUGACGCUCAGGCACGAAAGCGUGGGUAGCAAACAGG
rnacentral:rRNA from 1 species